CAUGGUUAAGAAGUUGCUCCCCAAGCGACCUAUUAUCCCCGAUUGAGCUGAUGACUGGUCCCCUUUGCAAUUCAUCUUCCCUAGCUGAGGUGUUCUGCAUCCCCCAGUUUGUGAUUUGAUGAUUGGACCCUGGAUAUCCCAGAACCUUUAUUUGGUAUUCAGAUUCCCAUUUUCAUUUGUUUGUGUUGCAUAACCGCAACAGUUUCUCCCCUGUGUGAGUCA
rnacentral:lncRNA from 1 species